GAUUACAUAACCGUGGCUCUCCUGAUGUGGAACUUUGGGGUGGUGGGGAUGAUUUGUAUUCACUGGAAGGGACCACUCUUUCUUCAGCAGGCUUACCUGAUCGUCAUAUCGGCCCUGAUGGCCCUCGUCUUCAUCAAGUACUUACCAGACUGGACAACAUGGGUGGUGCUGGGGGUCAUGGUCAUCUGGGAUCUAGUGGCUGUGCUCUGUCCAAAGGGACCUCUGAGGAUAUUAGUGGAAACAGCCCAAGAGAGAAAUGAACCAAUAUUUCCCGCACUUAUUUACUCUUCCACCAUGAUUUGGUCUGUUGUUGGAAUGGCAGAUGAUGGAUCAGAUAAAAAGAAGAAAAAGAAGAAGAAAUCCAAAAAGAAACCAGAGGCAGCUACAGCUGAACCGGACCGGGUGGAGGAGGAGUUAGACGGCGGAUUCCUGGAGGAGCGGCCCACCAGACAGCUGUCCCAGAGCACCGAAGAAACAGCUAGGGCUGUGAGGGCGGCUAGAGUUUUAGGAGAUACAGAGAAUGGGCAGCGAACAAAUUCACCACGAAACCCGACCAGGGAAGAGGAAGAGGAGGAGGAGGAAGAAGAAAGGGGAGUGAAGCUUGGUCUGGGGGACUUUAUAUUCUAUGGUGUGCUCGUGGGUAAGGCCUCCUCCAAUGGGGACUGGAACACCACACUUGCCUGCUUCGUGGCCAUUCUUAUAGGUUUGUGUUUCACUCUCCUACUUUUGGCCAUCUUCAGGAAGGCGUUACCGGCUCUACCCAUCUCCAUAACUUUUGGACUGAUUUUUAAUUUCACCACAAGCCUGCUGGUCCAGCCCUUCGCCGACCGUUUGUCAGCCUCACAGGUUUACAUAUGAGACCAGCCUAAGGCAGGAAGAAAUAGACAGUCCUCAGUUUCACGUCUCCAUACACUCAUAAUGAGACAUGAUUUAUGUUGUCUUUUUAAAUGUGAUUUGUGUUUUGUAUCUCUGUGUUAUCCAAAAAAGACAUUUUUGACAGGUGUACAUGUAUAUAUUAUUCUUAACGAUGUACAAGGCAUUUCUCAGGAAAAAAAGUGAGGUGUCCUAUAACUUUAUCAUUAAUCAUUGAAUAUUCAUUAUUUUAAAAUUAUAUUUUCCAAAAAUUGAAAUUUCAGUCUGUGCUUCAUUGUUUCCAGAUUAAUACAAUUGUUCAUUCUUUAUUUGAUGUGCGGAAGAACAUCGAUGAUUUGGAAUAAAUAUUCUUGGUUUUAUCAA
rnacentral:misc_RNA from 1 species